rnacentral:rRNA from 1 species
CCUACGGGAGGCAGCAGUAGGGAAUAUUGCUCAAUGGGGGAAACCCUGAAGCAGCAACGCCGCGUGGAGGAUGAAGGUUUUAGGAUUGUAAACUUCUUUUGUGAGAGAAGAUAAUGACGGUACCUCACUAAUAAGCACCGGCUAACUCCGUGCCAGCAGCCGCGGUAAUACGGAGGGUGCAAGCGUUAUUCGGAUUCACUGGGCGUAAAGAGUGCGUAGGCGGGCUUGUAAGUCAGAUGUGAAAUCCUGUGGCUUAACUACGGAACUGCAUUUGAAACUGUGAGUCUAGAGUGUGGGAGAGGUAGGUGGAAUGCUUGGUGUAGCGGUGAAAUGCGUAGAUAUCAAGAGGAAUACUCAUGGCGAAGGCGGCCUACUGGAACAUUACUGACGCUCAGGCACGAAAGCGUGGGGAGCAAACAGGAUUAGAUACCCUAGUAGUC